UUUGUUUGUAUGAUUAAGCAUAUAUGAGUUACUAGUCUAUUGGUUAAGUGUUAGUGAAAUUGUCCUUAAACCCCAAAUUUGAAUCCCUUCCCUUGCAUUUUUUUAAAAUUUUUUUACAUUUCUUUUGUUUUUAACCCUAUUGCCGCCUCUAGGGUUUAAAAACCCUAGUAUUUAAACAUCUUUUUUCUCCUUUUUGCUUUCACAUUGCCACCCUUGCCCGAAACACUCAAAAACUUUUCUCUCAUCCAUCCCUUGUAUAGCCCUCUCCUUAGCCUCCUCUCAUUUUUUUCCUAUUUUUUUCUCUCUUCUUUCUUUCUUUCUUUUGCUUAUACCGCCACCCUACUCCCUUGGACCAUCGUUGCCGCCACCUUGCACCAUAUUACACCACCGUAGUAUCACCUUGCAUCGUCACCACACCACCUUGGACCUCUGCCUGCACCAUCUUAUGCUAUUGUCGCCCCUUCUCCAUCAUUGUUGCAUCACCACCAUUUAUUUUCUCCUCCUCUCUUUUCG
rnacentral:lncRNA from 1 species